CUGGCCCGGGUCCUCCACAUCCCUUCCUUCCACACCCACUCCUUUUAACUCAGUCUGACUAACCAACAGCUGCUUGUCAAUCUCUUCCAGUGCUCUGGGCCACAAUGCAAAGGCGCCUCCUGGUGUUUGCAUUUGAAUAGGAACCCAAGCCCGGAAAACAAUGCGGCUCGUGGAAGGAGUGGGGCGAUUUCGAGCUGAGCCUCUUCCUUGCUUCUUCUGCCCCAUCACGUGGCAGUUCUCCCCGCACCUGCGCAGAAGCCUCAAUUUCCCUUUUUGAAAUGUCACGGUCAUCACCCUCUGAUUCAGGAUCUCCCUACAUAGUGCUGACUGACCUGGAACUCACUAUGUUGACUAGGCUAACCUUGAACUCACAGAGAUCCACCUGGCUGCCAAGUGUUGGGAUUAAGGACUCAGGCAGAGAACCCAUGGACGAGCCGGCACUUUGGCAUCACAAAGCUUUCUAUCCGCGCUCGCGGAUGGAUGGGGGUGCACGGAGACAAACCUGGCAGCCUUGGGGGCUGCAAGCCUCCGUCAGAAGGGUUCAAGUCUGAGUUGAACAGUCUUGGGUGGGUGUGUCCAACAUGUGAUAACAGAAGGAAGCUCUCCCGAGUACCCUGCUGCUGUUUCCUUCCUUUGUUCCCUCUGUCUCUCCCUCCUCCCCCACCAAGGCCAGCAACCCUCUACCCCCACACACACGUGUUCUUGGACUGGGCUCUGUAGUAGACACCCAGCAGGUUGCUUUCUGCAAGAAGAGUGCUGGUUUAACUACUCCCAGCUCCACAAACACAAAAUAAACAAAAUAGCUGCCUUCA